rnacentral:rRNA from 1 species
UACGAAGGGGGCUAGCGUUGCUCGGAAUCACUGGGCGUAAAGCGCACGUAGGCGGCUUUUUAAGUUAGGGGUGAAAUCCUGGAGCUCAACUCCAGAACUGCCUUUGAUACUGAGAAGCUUGAGUCCGGGAGAGGUGAGUGGAACUGCGAGUGUAGAGGUGAAAUUCGUAGGUAUUCGCAAGAACACCAGUGGCGAAGGCGGCUCACUGGCCCGGUACUGACGCUGAGGUGCGAAAGCGUGGGGAGCGAACAGG